GGGGUAGUACUGGUUUCGACAGGGGCCAUGCAGCUGGUGAAGCUAUCCGCAUGCAAUGCGUUAAAUGGCAAACUUAAAUAUAAACGCUAAAAACGAUUUAGUACUGGCAGCCUAAGGGCAGCCUGUCAGCCUUAGAGCACCCACACUUUAAGAACCUGGCAUCGACUAUGUGGGAAACGACUCAUGCAAAGCUUUGAGCAUGUGGGCGUAUUAUGAAGCUACUGAACGCGUCAGGGUGUCAGCCCCCGGACGCCGGAGGGAAUGACAAAAGACUGACUAUGAUAGUAGAAGAACAGGGAAUUGGUUUUUGGACACGGGUUCAAAUCCCGUCUACUCCAC
rnacentral:tmRNA from 1 species